rnacentral:tRNA from 1 species
GCGCGUUUCUCGGAGUUGAUGUCGGCGAUCUCGGACCGGCACCAGACUACGAAUCUGGGGGUCAGGAGUUCGAAUCUCUUCGGGCGCGCCA